CACGCCCGCUGAGCCGCAGGCCCCUGCGGGGCGUCCGCACGGCUCAGCCUUACCACACACCCCCUGAACGACGCAGCCUUGCUGUGGGAAGUCGGGAAGGGAGAUUCUCCGUGGCUUGUAUUUGGAACAUAAACUUAAGAGUCUUUUUAUCAAUCAAAGGGAAGACAGGAAUGGCAGGCUGUAGCAGGUGUGCUUUCUAAGCGCUGUGACCCUAACGCUGUGUCAAAUCCCAGCGGGAGAAAGGAGGGUCUCGGGGACGCCCGCUCGGCCACC